rnacentral:rRNA from 1 species
UACGUAGGGUGCAAGCGUUGUCCGGAAUUAUUGGGCGUAAAGAGCUCGUAGGCGGUCUGUCGCGUCGGCUGUGAAAACCCGGGGGCUCAACCCCGGGCCUGCAGUCGAUACGGGCAGACUAGAGUGCGGUAGGGGGAGACUGGAAUUCCUGGUGUAGCGGUGAAAUGCGCAGAUAUCAGGAGGAACACCGGUGGCGAAGGCGGGUCUCUGGGCCGUAACUGACGCUGAGGAGCGAAAAGCGUGGGGGAGCGAACAGG